GGCCCACUGCCUUUUGACGAAAGGCGGUGGAGUUUCUGACGGGGGAAGGAAGAGACAAUUGCGCAUCGCGUCCCGCAGGCGUGGUGCGGCCAGCCUGGGUGGCAUAAAAGGCGCGGGAAGUCAGGUCCCGCUCUCACUCCCUCUCCCGACCAGGUCCAAGAUUCACGAAGCGGCUCCACGCUCAGCACCACGCCUCAUCGACACGUGGGCCAGUACCCUUACCACUUCUACGUUUUGUUUACUGUGUACACGGGAUUUCUCAAGCAAUCGGACUCCCUCUCCGCUACUAUGGUCCCACAACUGAUAUUCUCCGAUCCUUUGGGGCCUUCCACAUCCCAGGCCGGUACCGCAGGGGCCCCCUGCCCUACCCAGCAAACCCUAAGGUAAGAGAGUUUCCUGUACAAGUUAGUCAGGACUACCCCCAGUGCUGGCGUGUGUUUGCGCCGUCCCUCGCGGCCCGUUCGUUCCGCUUAGCUAGUUCCCUAGGGCCUUCCGCCUGCUUGCCUCCCUGGGGUUGCUGGCGUUCCUCCAGGUCGGGACUGGUGCGCUGGUUAUCUGCGGCGACUUCAUGUGGCCUGGUUUCGGUGGUCCUGUGCCCUGGGGCCCGGCCCUAUUGCGUGCUCGGUGGACCAUUCGUCCCAGGUGUGCCCUCCCCGGUUUGCUGUGCCCCUAGGCUUGCCCUAGGGGCCAUGUUUCGCCCGCGCCUGGCCGUGCGUGCGCGGCCAGGCUCCUUCUGUGGUCUGGCAUCGCCCUCUGUGGCGACGCCACGCGGCGGUUUCCGGGGUUCUGAGCCCUGGGGCCCAAGCCCGGUAGGCGGCGCCCACGUGGCUUUGAGCUCGGUGAAGCACUCGCCCCAAGGAUGCCCUUCGUUUCCUUCCCCGUCCCAGGCGUUUUCCCCGGAACCUGGUUUGUUGCGCCCUCUUGGCUUGGCCCUAGGGGCCAGGGUUCGUGAUGCACUUGGACGUGCGUGACCGGCCAGGUUCCCUGCGAGCGUCCUGGCGUCACCCUGGUGGCGACGCCUCCUGGCCGGGUUUUUAGUUGUCUUUGUCCCUAGGGCCCGACCCUAGGGGCCCAUGCCAAGGACGGCAUCACCCACGUGGCAUGGAGCUCCAGGAGCGCUUGCCUUGGGCUGUGUUCGCUUCCUUCCUGUCCUUCUCCCUUUUCGCCCUCGGGCAGGAGACGCCCUUGUGGCGGCGGUGCCCCGGGUAGGCGCAUGCCGUAGAGCGGUCUGUCGGUUUGGUGGCGAGAAGCCGGAUCACGCAGCAACUGCAACACGGAAGAGGGCUCGGGCGACGUCGCGUGAGGACAACAGCGCAGUGGGGUGAGGACGCAGCCGGCCUUCGCUUCGCCUCCCCCCCUCGGGGGCCUCCUCGGGCGGCUCUGAUGUGCACGGCGACCACACUUCCCAGAGGCCACUGCCGGCAAAGCGACGGGUGGCACAGCGUCGCAGCCUCCACCUUUUUCGGCCGACGAUUGGACGACGCUGCAGGCGCCCAUCGCGCAGGCUCGGGGGCCC